UACGGAGGGGACUAGCGUUGUUCGGAAUUACUGGGCGUAAAGCGCACGUAGGCGGCUUUCUAAGUCAGGGGUGAAAUCCUGGAGCUCAACUCCAGAACUGCCUUUGAUAAUGGAGAGCUUGAGUCCGGGAGAGGUGAGUGGAACUCCGAGUGUAGAGGUGAAAUUCGUAGAUAUUCGGAAGAACACCAGUGGCGAAGGCGGCUCACUGGCCCGGUACUGACGCUGAUGUGCGAAAGCGUGGGGAGCAAACAGG
rnacentral:rRNA from 1 species